rnacentral:rRNA from 1 species
UACGAAGGGGGCUAGCGUUGUUCGGAAUUACUGGGCGUAAAGCGCACGUAGGCGGACUAUUAAGUCAGGGGUGAAAUCCCGGGGCUCAACCCCGGAACUGCCUUUGAUACUGGUAGUCUCGAGUCCGGAAGAGGUGAGUGGAAUUCCGAGUGUAGAGGUGAAAUUCGUAGAUAUUCGGAGGAACACCAGUGGCGAAGGCAGCUCGCUGGGACGGUACUGACGCUGAGACGCGAAAGCGUGGGGAGCAAACAGG